rnacentral:lncRNA from 1 species
UCUCCUUUUUCUUUUUCACUCAUUUUUCUUUUUUUUUUUCAUUAAUUUUAUUUUUUUUUCAAGUGAAGUAUUUGUUCCUUGAAUCAAAAUUCUCAAGAUUAGGCAAGUUCUUGCCAUCCAUCUUGGUCAAUACCGACGCUCUCCCAGAUAAGGCCUUCCAUAUAAGGUCCUUCAGGCUUGGCAUCCACUUUCUUCUGAAGUCCCCUUUGUAUGGG